rnacentral:miRNA from 1 species
UGAUGAUGAUGAUGAUGAUGAUGAUGAUGAUGACAAUGAUGUCUCAUUUGCAGCAGAUAUCAUCGUUGUCGUCGUCGUCCUAUCGACGAAA